CUUAGUACCAAAGAAAUUGCUAUCGGAGAACUGGGCUAAAUAUGAACCCCAAAAUGUGGCAGGGCAGAUGACUGCGCAUUUCCAAAUGGGCCACAAGUCCAGACCCAAUCCGGUGCUCGAAAUGAGAUGUUUCUAGGGAGAAAUAAAAACUGAGGGGUAUGGGACUCAAGAUCGAGCCCAAACAGGGUAGUGGAAAUAUUUGAAGCCUAACAAAGACUGGUUGAGCCCAUUUAACUAUUAUCAACAUGCAACAAUAUGAUAUACAAGCCCUGAAUACCACAACAUCCAAAUAACUGUGUCAUACAUCUAAAGAAACAUGGUUUGACUAUCCAUGCUAGCAAUACACAUAUGGGACUUAAAUUAAUCACUAGUUAUUAUGAAUUCACGGAUAGAACUUAUCUUGAAAGUAUGGAAAUCCUACACAGUUUGGAAGUAUCUAGCAAUUGUCAAACAAACAACUUCUUGCUCAAAUUAUGACUCUUAAAAAACAUAGAUGCUCAAAACCAGACCCUACAAGGAAAUAAACCAAACGAAUGUAUAAUAUAACCCACCAUAAACUGAAAAUCAGUAUUAACUUAAACAUAUUUAAACCAAACUAAAGAUGAUGUUCAUUAUCUGACUUAGAUCCCUACUGCAGAUAGUUUGAGCAUUCUAUAUAUUCAGCAAGAAGAUUUUAAUCAACUCACAACCCAACAUAAUAAACUAAGAUCAUAAUCCAGGACUUACAAAUGUGAUACACUAUCAGCAACAUGAAUGAGCAAACAAAAGGCAUAUAAGAGAGCUAAAUUAUUACAGAAAAAUAAAUAAACUUAAAGAAGAUGGGGAUAAAAUUCAACAUGCAGCAUGUAUCAUUACAUUUCCACAUUUGGAUUGCAUUCUUCAAACUUGUAACUCUAUGCUAUUUAAGGUCCAAGAGAUACCUGGAUACCGAAGCAAAAGCAAAGUGAGGAUGUCAACCAAAAUAUGAGCAAAACAGCAAGAAUAAAGCAACCACAACUUUUCCAAAAUUAAACAAUGCUUCAACUCUUUUGGAGUUCAAACAUUUCAGAGAAUUUCUUCUAGUUUUCUUGUGACAAAUCAGAAAAGUCUUAGUGCAGAACUUUUAUGCAUAGAAUGAGCCUUUAAAAUCUGUAUUUUUAGAAGAAAAUGCUUCAGCCAUUUUGCUACUUCUUUUAUGCUCUCACCUCUGCCCUAUAGAAUGAUCAAAAGAUGAUCUUAUAGGCAGACCUUAGAGCAGCAUUAUCCAACUUUCCUCUUGUCUCAAUUAUCCCUUUUACCCCAUCUUUUUCUUAGUUAUUUUACCCCUUCACCCCUAAAAAAUAUUUAAGCCCUCUGUUACCUCUUAUAACAUGCAAGCCUAACCUUAUCAUCUAGAAGCUUCUCCUAUAACAAAAAACAUUCUCUAGCCCUCAAAUACCCAAAAAACCCCUUGACAUCCCUGUAUUUAUAUUCUCAAUACUGACCCAAGACCUAAACCAAAGCCACGGGCUCGUCCUGCCCAAACAGGAAUGAACCAACAGCCCAAAAGAGACCUAGGAUCAAAAUCUAAUGGACUUCAAAAGUAAAACCUUAAGACUAGCUAAUUUUAAUAAACAAACAAGAUUGAAUUAAUUGAUCCGAGUUGUAAUUGACGAUGAACUAGAAUAUGCUAAAAUAUUAUAACAAUUAACUAAUUUAAACAAAAAACGAAAGCAACAUGCCUGUUAAAUGUUCUAACCUAUCAUUCAAGCAGAAUUAAUCGAGCAGGAAAGAAAUAAAGACAAGGAAUGAACAGAGAUGACGAGGACAAAAUAAAAACAAAUAUGAACAACUGACCAAAAGCCGGAGAGCAUAGAUGACCAAAGGAAGUAGAGAUGGAGGAUAUGUCCAGGCUCGAGAUGCUUCGACAAAGCUUGAAACUGACCCUAAUGACCACUCUAGUCAAGAAUGGUCUAUCAGGGCAAGCCCUGAGCCACGAUGAGCAGAAAAUUUCAACAAAAUCUCAAUUCCAAAAUUAGGUCAAAUUCUAGAUCCCUAAUUUGACGAAUUCCAAAGGUUGUUUGGGAAAAUUUCCAAGGGUUUUGAGUUUUGGGAGGCUUGGUGUUCAUAGGAUAUUAGUUUGAGGUUGAUCGGAGUUGCUCCGUGCCCGGUGAGUUGAGAGGAUCCUGAGGUGGCUAAGGUUAGGACUCUCACAAGUUGAGAGAUGAAAUGAGGGGGAAUAGAAAUUGGGGGUUGGGAGUUCUAAUUCGGACAUAUGUAUAAUACCU
rnacentral:lncRNA from 1 species